CGUACACAAGAAAGACACUUCUCCUCUUUGUCAUGGUUUUGUCGCGUUUUCGUAACAACCUCGAACAGUCAUUUCGUUCGUCUGUAACAUGUUUAUGCAUAAAUAUUUGAUGGAAUAGCUGAAAAAGAAGAGGACAAAUAUCGAAACGUCAAGCAAACGCCAAGUCAAACUGCCAAAAGCCGCUAUCCAUCGAUCGAUCUCAUUCGAUUGAUUGUUCAUGCAUUCGUUGUCUACGCUGCUGCUGUUGCUGCUACGCCAUGAAGAGUAGUCUUCGACAAACAAAACAUUGCCGUCGAUCGUCGCGUAACGAUCGAUGAUUAACAAUUUGUUUGUUUGUCUGUUUGUUAAUUAUGUAGUUUUCCUUGAGCUAUUUUGAGUUUAUAAUGCAAAAAGAUCACAGAUAAAAUUAAUAAAUUCGAAAAAAGAUGAUUAAUUUCCAAA